rnacentral:misc_RNA from 1 species
GAAAAGGGAAAAAAUCAAUAGAAAAAAUUAUGUUGAAAUCCGAUUUAUCAUGAAUUAUAGUAUCCAUUAAAUAAAAAACAUGUAAAUAAGAAGUAAACUACAUCACAAUUUAUGUGGGAUACAUGUCCAUUAAAUAAAAUACAUGUAAAUAAGAAGUAAAUUGCAUUACAAUUUCUGUGGGAUACAUUCUUUUGAAUUAUAUAUUAUUGUCAAAAUUCGUUUGUAAGAAGAUAUGAAUAAAACUUCAUAUGCUAUAUUAUAAUUUACCAUUAACUUUUUAAAUUCAAUUUUACCCCUUUGAAU